rnacentral:rRNA from 1 species
CGUUAGGAAGUUAGGUUAACGGGUUUAAGGUACGGCGGACGGGUGAGGUAACACGUGGGCAACCUGCCUUAUACUGGGGGAUAACAGUUAGAAAUGACUGCUAAUACCGCAUAAGCGCCCAUCCCCGCAUGGGGAAGAGCGAAAAACUCCGGUGGUAUAAGAUGGGCCCGCGCCUGAUUAGGUAGUUGGUGGGGUAACGGCCCACCAAGGCGACGAUCAGUAGCCGGCCUGAGAGGGUGAACGGCCACAUUGGGACUGAGACACGGCCCAAACUCCUACGGAAGGCAGCAG